AGAGUUUGAUCCUGGCUCAGGAUGAACGCUGGCGGCGUGCCUAAUACAUGCAAGUCGAACGAGGUGCUUUUGUAGCAAUACGAGAGUAUCCUAGUGGCGAACGGGUGAGUAACGCGUUGGUGACCUACCCCAAAGUGUGGGAUAACAGUCCGAAAGGAUUGCUAAUACCGCAUGUGGUCAUUGGAUUUAGAAACUGAUGACUAAAGGAGCAAUUCGCUUUGGGAGGGACCUGCGUCCCAUCAGCUAGUUGGUGAGGUAAUGGCUCACCAAGGCUACGACGGGUAGGGGACCUGAGAGGGUGGCCCCCCACAAUGGAACUGAAACACGGUCCAUACACCUACGGGUGGCAGCAGUAGGGAAUAUUGCACAAUGGGCGAAAGCCUGAUGCAGCAACGCCGCGUGUGCGAUGAAGGCCUUCGGGUCGUAAAGCACUUUUCUGAGAGAUGAGAAAGGACAGUAUCUCAGGAAUAAGUCUCGGCUAACUACGUGCCAGCAGCCGCGGUAAAACGUAGGAGGCGAGCGUUAUCCGGAUUCACUGGGCGUAAAGCGCGUGCAGGUGGCUCGGUAAGUUGGGCGUGAAAUCUCCCGGCUCAACUGGGAGAGGUCGUUCAAUACUACCGAGCUUGAGAGCAGAAGAGGAAGAUGGAAUUCCCGGUGUAGUGGUGAAAUGCGUAGAUAUCGGGAGGAACACCAGUGGCGAAGGCGAUCUUCUGGUCUGUUUCUGACACUCAGACGCGACAGCUAGGGUAGUAAACGGGAUUAGAGACCCCGGUAAUCCUAGCCGUAAACGAUGUGAACUUGGCGUUGGUGGGUAAACUCAUCAGUGCGAGCAACGCGAUAGUCACGCUGGGACUACGCGCAGUAAACUCAAAGAUGACG
rnacentral:rRNA from 1 species